CCUACGGGAGGCAGCAGUGAGGAAUAUUGGUCAAUGGGCGCGAGCCUGAACCAGCCAAGUCGCGUGAGGGAAGACGGUCCUAUGGAUUGUAAACCUCUUUUGUCGGGGAGCAAAAGACGCCACGCGUGGCGUUCCGAGAGUACCCGUAGAAAAAGCAUCGGCUAACUCCGUGCCAGCAGCCGCGGUAAUACGGAGGAUGCGAGCGUUAUCCGGAUUUAUUGGGUUUAAAGGGUGCGCAGGCGGAAGAUCAAGUCAGAGGUAAAAUUGAGGGGCUCAACCUCUUCGAGCCGUUGAAACUGGUUGUCUUGAGUGAGUGAGAAGUAUGCGGAAUGCGUGGUGUAGCGGUGAAAUGCAUAGAUAUCACGCAGAACUCCGAUUGCGAAGGCAGCAUACCGGCGCUCAACUGACGCUCAUGCACGAAAGUGUGGGUAUCGAACAGGAUUAGAUACCCGAGUAGUC
rnacentral:rRNA from 1 species